rnacentral:rRNA from 1 species
UACGUAGGGUGCAAGCGUUGUUCGGAAUUACUGGGCGUAAAGGGCUCGUAGGCGGCCAACUAAGUCAGACGUGAAAUCCCUCGGCUUAACCGGGGAACUGCGUCUGAUACUGGUUGGCUUGAAUCCGGGAGAGGGAUGUGGAAUUCCAGGUGUAGCGGUGAAAUGCGUAGAUAUCUGGAGGAACACCGGUGGCGAAGGCGGCAUCCUGGACCGGUAUUGACGCUGAGGAGCGAAAGCCAGGGGAGCAAACGGG